GUUAUUUUAAAGAGGCAGACAGAACAUAAAUUAAAACUUGUUGUAGAGGAUUCCGCAAAACCCUAAUUACUUUUUGAAGUUCGCGCGAUAACACAAUCUGCAACUUUGAGAUUCCAUUCUCUAUCAAUGGCGGAACUUCCGAUCCUUCAAUUUGAGGAGAAGAUUAUAGAUACCGUACAAAAGAAUCCUGUGACGGUUAUAAUCGGGGAGACUGGGUCGGGGAAAAGCACCCAGCUCUCUCAGAUACUACACCGCCAUCGUUACACCAAAUCCGGAAUCAUUGGCGUCACCCAGCCCCGGCGAGUCGCUGCCGUCUCCGUUGCUAGACGAGUUGCACAGGAGCUUGGUGUUCGGCUUGGGGAUGAAGUGGGUUAUGCCAUACGCUUUGAAGAUAGAACUUCUGAAAGAACACGAAUCAAAUAUCUGACUGAUGGAGUGCUCCUUCGUGAAAGUCUGUCUAACCCCGAGCUUGAUCAGUAUUCAGUCAUUAUAUUGGAUGAGGCACACGAGAGAAGUCUGAACACAGACGUGUUACUGGGGCUAAUGAAACGCUUGGUCAAACUACGCACUUCCAGUUUAAGGGUUCUGAUCACUUCAGCAACUCUUGAUGGUGAAAAAGUGUCGAAGUUCUUUUUGGACUGUCCUGUAUUGAAUGUCCCAGGGAAGUUGUAUCCUGUGGAAAUAUUAUACAGCAAGGAGCGCCCUACGAGUUAUCUUGAGUCUUGUCUUAGAGUAGCUAUUGAUAUACAUAUUCGAGAGCCUGAAGGUGAUGUUUUGAUAUUUAUGACUGGACAGGAUGACAUAGAAAAGUUGGUCGCAAAGUUGGAGGAUAAAAUUCGAAGCUUGGAAGAAGGUUCUUGCAUGGAUGCUAUAGUCCUUCCCCUUCAUGGUUCUUUGCCACCUGAAAUGCAGGUGCGUGUAUUUACUCCUCCACCUUCAAACUGCAGAAGAUUUAUUGUUUCUACGAACAUUGCUGAAACUUCUUUGACUGUUGAUGGUGUUGUGUAUGUUGUUGAUUGUGGGUAUGUGAAGCAACGGCAAUACGUACCAUCAACUGGCAUGUACUCACUUGAUGUUGUCCAAAUUAGCAAAGUGCAAGCUAAUCAGCGUGCAGGGCGAGCUGGAAGAACUCGUCCUGGGAAGUGCUAUCGCUUAUACCCCUCCAGAGUUUACGAGGAAGAAUUCCUUGAUGUAACGGUUCCAGAAAUACAGCGAUCUUCUCUCACUGGCAGCAUUCUUUAUUUGAAAUCAUUGGAUCUGCCAGAUAUUGAUAUUCUCAAGUUUGAUUUUCUUGACCCCCCUUCCUCUGAGUCUCUAGAGGAUGCAUUGAAGCAAUUAUAUCUUAUCGAUGCUAUUGAUGAAAAUGGAUCAAUCACAAGCAUUGGGCGAACUAUGGCUGACCUUCCUCUAGAACCCUCACUUUCAAGGACAUUAAUGGAGGCAAAUGAGUAUGGUUGUUUAUCCCAAGCUUUGACUGUCGUUGCCAUGUUGUCAGCAGAAACAACGUUGUUACCUGGUCGAAGCAAGGGGGCCAGCAAGGGUGCUGAAAAGAAGAGGAAACACACACCCUUGGAACUUCCUGAUGGCUCUGGUUGGGGUGAUCAUAUCCAAUUGCUGCAAAUUUUUGAGCAGUGGGAUCAAAAUGGCUAUGAUGUUGAUUGGUGCAAAGAUCACGAGUUGCAGGUGCGAGGGAUGAUGUUUGUCAAAGAUGUCAGGAAGCAAUUAUGUCAGAUAAUGCAGAAGAUCGCCAAGGGAUCAUUAGAUGUACGACCAAAAGAAAGACGGAAAGAAAGCCGUCAGGAUUAUAAGGAUUUGAGGAAGGCUUUAUGUGUUGGUUAUGCCGGUCAAGUUGCUGAAAGAAUGAUACGCCACAAUGGCUAUCGGACAAUAGGUUUCAAGUCCCAGCUAGUUCAGGUGCAUCCAUCCUCGGUGGUAAGAUCAGAUGAAGAGGGCAUGCUCCCAAAUUAUGUUGUGUACCAUGAGCUGAUUGUCACAUCUCACCCAUACAUGCGCAAUGUGUGUGCUGUAGAGAUGCCAUGGGUCACACCCAUUCUAAAGAAGCUUGAGAAGAUUAGUGUCAGUAAACUGAGUGGAGGAUCUGGUCAUGUUGGAGAGGAGACAAAUCGAAAAAUCGUGGACUUGCCCAAGAAAGACAUGAAUGUUCAGGUCCCUGAUGACCAUGAAAGUAGAAUUCAGGCUGCUAAAGAACGCUUUCUUGCUCGGAAGUCGAAGAAAUGAGUUAUCAACUCACAGCAUAUUGAGGAAGGAGCACAAGUCACUUCUCCUUUUUUACAGGUCAAGGCUUGCCAAAUUAAAGCAAUUAUCAACCUGGGAUUACUGAUUGGUUUCCAAUAUUUUCUGGUAAAACCACAUGUACCAUUCGUGAGACACACGUCACAACUUGGCAGAUGGUAGUGUAUUCACAGUUUUACAUGGACAGAAGCUUUGUGGAAGUUCCCUUUCAUGUCUGGCAUCUUUCUAAUUUUGAGAAGCUCAUAAAGAACGCUCUUGGAUAUUUUAAAUUAGUUAGCUUGGAUUUGUUGCUUGUCUACAGCAAUAAGGUUUGUUGAGUUGUUGCCAAUACCAGCAAGCGAUUACUGUUUGAGAGGCUGCUGACUUUCUAGAGGAGCACGAACUUUAAGUGCAAGAAAGUCCUCUCCCCGAGAAUUAGAUCCCCUAUCUUGUGUUUGUAAGUAUAUGUGAUGGCAGAUAAUGCAUUGAUCAAGCUCUAUGGUUGUUGAUGACCAUGCCUGGAAUACAAAAAGGGGAACUGAAAGUUGGGGGAGAGUUGAAGGCCUAGUCAGUCUGAAGCAAACUCUGAAAUCAUAGAUUGUUUUGCCAGAUUUUGUGCAGAGGAAUGGACUGAAUCGUUUGUUUUUUUCUUUUUCUUUUUUUUUUAAGUAUAUGAAAUUAUUAACAACUGAUUUUUUUCUCUUGCAUUUGUUCCCACAAACCAUCACAUGAGCUAAUGUAGUAAAAAAUUUCUUAGACUGAA